GACACUUUGGCCGAGUGGUUACGGCGGCGACCUGCUAAGCCGUUGGGCUCUGCCCGCGUGGGUUCGAAUCCCACAGGUGUCG
rnacentral:tRNA from 1 species